UCUGCACCGCAACCUACCGCCGACACCAACGAGCUCCUCCGCCGACGUGAUGAGCUCCGCUCACCGGAACCUUCCACCGAGGCCGACGAGCUCCUCCUUUACGUCGAACAGCUCCUCCUUCACCAAAUAAACUGUAACACCAGCUCCUCCUUUACCCAGACACAACAGAUCAAUUUCUUUACGAAUCUAUAAGCACUAGUGGCCAAUCCUCCUGGAUAAUCUUCAUGUUUAGUAAAUAGAUGGAUAUCUUUCUCUUAGACAUCGAUACAAUCCUCCAGAAUGCCAGUUGUCUUGCCUGCUUGUCACAGAGUACUCAAGGAGGUUUGUAGAAGGUUGCCGGGUUUUUCACCCGCUGAAGUGUUGGAUUUUGGUGCUGGCAUGGGUUUGGCUUUCUGGGCACUAUGAGAAGUCUGGCCGAAUUCCUUGGAGAAAGUUAACUUAGUAGAGUCAUCACAAUCAAUGCAGCGUGCAGGCCAGAGCCUUAUACAAGGUACACCUUUUGUGGGCUGGCAACAAUGAUUCUGAUCAAUGAGGUCAAUUGUUUGGACUUGCCUAGACUAAUUGAUUGGUUGGUAUUUCGACAAGGGAAGGAAUGUGGAUUUCAGGGGAGGACUAAUAAGUUAGUUGAUGGUUGCUACUCUUUCUGGCAGGGAAGUGCAUUUGCAUUAUUACAAAGAAUACCUUCAGUUAGUGAGGAGCAAAUUGUGCUACUGGAUGUGGGACAC